rnacentral:tRNA from 1 species
GAGAUGUUAGUAAAACAAUUACAUAGCCUUGUCAAGACUAAGUUGCAAAUGAAAACUUUGCACAUCUCU